AAGUGAUGUUUUGCUUCUCGCUGACAUCUUUCAAAACUUCAGACGAUUGUGUCUUGAUUUUUACAAACUGGAUCCGGCACACGUCUAUACAGCCCCUGGUCUGGUCUGGCAAGCUGCAUUGCGCAUGUUCGACAUCCAACUGGAGUUACUCACCGAUCCUGAUAUGUAUCUCUUUAUAGAAAAGAGCAUUCGAGGUGGCAUCGCUAUGAUUUCACAUCGCUUCAGCCAAGCUAAUAAUAAGUAUAUGGAAAAUUAUGACCCAACGAAGCCAUCAUCUUUAUAUUAUGUAUUUGGAUGCCAAUAACCUUUACGGAUGGGCCAUGAGCCAAGCUUUACCAACCCAUGACUUCCAGUGGCAUGACGGACUUCUUCAUGGAGAUGGUUGACGAUGCGAAAGAAGGAUGUAUCCUAGAAGUUGAUCUGGAGUAUCCAAGGGAACUUCACGAUGCUCAUUUGGACUAUCCUCUUGCUCCCGAACAAGUCGUCGUGACACCUGAUAUGUGGUUCAUCGAGCAGUUCUACCAAACUGGUGCCAAAUCUGCGACCUAAGCAUCCGUACGUGAUACAUUACCGAAAUCUAAAGCAAUAUGUUUCACUGGGGCUUCAAGUGACCAAGAUCCAUCGUGUGCUGACUUUCAAACAAUCUCCUUGGCUUGCAACAUACAUUGAAUUCAACACUAGGCAACGUAAACUGGCUAAAUUUUCAUUUGAAAAAGAUUUUUUUAAACUUUUAAACAAUUCAGUUUUCGGAAAGACCAUGGAAAAUUUCAGAAAACGUACCUGCAUUGAUCUGGUUCAUUGAGAGAAACGAGCCAAGAAGUUAGUCGCUGCUCCAACAUUUCAUUCCUUCAAGAUCAUCACAGACGAUCUGGCUGGCAGCCAUUGAGCGACGAAACACCAGCUUAGUUCUGAAUCGCCCUAUCUAUGUAGGCUUUAGCAUCUUGGAUUAAUCAAAAACGUUAAUGUAUCAAUUCACGACGGAUAUAUCAAGAAAACAUACGGAUUAAAGGUCCAUUUAUUAUUCACAGACACCGACAGUCUUUGUUACAAAAUAUAAACUGCUGAUAUUUUUCAAGACAUGGGCGACAAUCUCAACUUAUUCGAUACCUCAGAUUACCCAGAAAAUCACCCUCUGUAUAGCCUUACCAAUAAAAACAAGAUCGGUAAAAUGAAAGAUGAACUAUCUGGACAAAUUGCCCAAGAAUCAAGCCAAAAAUGUACAGCCUACUCAGUAACUGUACUGAGAAGAAAACUGCUAAGAGCGUAUCGAAAACCAUCUUUAAAAGACAGAUUCGUCAUGUGGACUACGUUAACUGCCUUUUACAACAACAACGCGGUCUUGCCCAUGCGCCAACGUAUUGCCAGCCAUAGUCAUCAGAUAAAGACUUGGCCUAUACAAAAGCUACUUUGUGUCCUUUCGAUACGAAACGGUAUCUUUUAGGCGAUGGGAUAUCGUCUUAUGCAUACGGGCAUUAUGUCAUAUAACUUCAAAUUCUCUGUAUAUUCAAUCAAAAUUCUAAAGUAUUUUAUUUUGGAAAUUUAUGAUGUAAAUAAGUGUAAUCAUAUGUCUUUAAACUUUAAUAAAUGUUUAUUUAAAUAUA
rnacentral:lncRNA from 1 species